rnacentral:tRNA from 1 species
GCGCCCGUGGCGGAACUGGCAGACGCGCUAGGUUUAGGUCCUAGUGUCUUUUCAGACGUGGGAGUUCAAGUCUCCCCGGGCGCA